rnacentral:rRNA from 1 species
AACAAAUGCCCUGCUUCCAGGAAAAGCCUCUAAGCAUCAGGUAACAUCAAAUCGUACCCCAAACCGACACAGGUGGUCAGGUAGAGAAUACCAAGGCGCUUGAGAGAACUCGGGUGAAGGAACUAGGCAAAAUGGUGCCGUAACUUCGGGAGAAGGCACGCUGAUAUGUAGGUGAAGCGACUUGCUCGUGGAGCUGAAAUCAGUCGAAGAUACCAGCUGGCUGCAACUGUUUAUUAAAAACACAGCACUGUGCAAACACGAAAGUGGACGUAUACGGUGUGACGCCUGCCCGGUGCCGGAAGGUUAAUUGAUGGGGUCAGCGCAAGCGAAGCUCUUGAUCGAAGCCCCGGUAAACGGCGGCCGUAACUAUAACGGUCCUAAGGUAGCGAAAUUCCUUGUCGGGUAAGUUCCGACCUGCACGAAUGGCGUAAUGAUGGCCAGGCUGUCUCCACCCGAGACUCAGUGAAAUUGAACUCGCUGUGAAGAUGCAGUGUACCCGCGGCAAGACGGAAAGACCCCGUGAACCUUUACUAUAGCUUGACACUGAACAUUGAGCCUUGAUGUGUAGGAUAGGUGGGAGGCUUUGAAGUGUGGACGCCAGUCUGCAUGGAGCCGACCUUGAAAUACCACCCUUUAAUGUUUGAUGUUCUAACGUUGACCCGUGAUCCGGGUUGCGGACAGUGUCUGGUGGGUAGUUUGACUGGGGCGGUCUCCUCCUAAAGAGUAACGGAGGAGCACGAAGGUUGGCUAAUCCUGGUCGGACAUCAGGAGGUUAGUGCAAUGGCAUAAGCCAGCUUGACUGCGAGCGUGACGGCGCGAGCAGGUGCGAAAGCAGGUCAUAGUGAUCCGGUGGUUCUGAAUGGAAGGGCCAUCGCUCAACGGAUAAAAGGUACUCCGGGGAUAACAGGCUGAUACCGCCCAAGAGUUCAUAUCGACGGCGGUGUUUGGCACCUCGAUGUCGGCUCAUCACAUCCUGGGGCUGAAGUAGGUCCCAAGGGUAUGGCUGUUCGCCAUUUAAAGUGGUACGCGAGCUGGGUUUAGAACGUCGUGAGACAGUUCGGUCCCUAUCUGCCGUGGGCGCUGGAGAACUGAGGGGGGCUGCUCCUAGUACGAGAGGACCGGAGUGGACGCAUCACUGGUGUUCGGGUUGUCAUGCCAAUGGCACUGCCCGGUAGCUAAAUGCGGAAGAGAUAAGUGCUGAAAGCAUCUAAGCACGAAACUUGCCCCGAGAUGAGUUCUCCCUGACCCUUUAAGGGUCCUGAAGGAACGUUGAAGACGACGACGUUGAUAGGCCGGGUGUGUAAGCGCAGCGAUGCGUUGAGCUAACCGGUACUAAUGAACCGUGAGGCUUAACCUUACAACGCCGAAGCUGUU